rnacentral:ncRNA from 9 species
UUAUUACAAACUGAGUAGGAGUCAUAAUCCUAAUACAAGUUGUAUUCUAACACCAAGGGCGAGGCUUCUGGGGUGGUGGCCCUGCAACGGGUUGGUGUGCGGUGCGUCCGUGGGACAGUG